rfam:Ferroplasma sp. Type II genomic scaffold AMDT4_FER2S00059, whole genome shotgun sequence.
AAAGUCUCAACAUAGGAAAAACCGAAAACUAUGAAGCGAGGGUCAAGGGUGGACUGGCAACAGUUUCAUCUGAAGCAGACCGACAACGGGAAAUAUGGAACCUCAGUAUGAGGCUCAGAGAUCUCUACGCGAAGCCGCAGGCUUGAAUGUGAGUGAACCUACAAGUAGCGUCGUAAUAUGUACCUCCAGUAAUGGAGUGAAGGAAUGUGCCGAUCCUGUCCAUGUAUGGAGAAGGCAGUACCAGAUACCAACAAAUUCGGUAGGGGUAUCUGGACAUCCCGGCGUAGCAGGGCU